UUACAACAUGCAUGCGGGAUCAUUGACAUAUGGGGUCCUAUACGACCAAGAUUGACACCGAUCCGCGAAGAUAAACUUUGGGGAGGUCAAGUGGAUGCCCUGUGAACAAGUUUUAGCUUCACUACCAAAUAUUUGUAGAGAUGAAGGUAUAUGGCUUGCUAGAGUCCGGAUUCUAUGCUUUGAGGUUAUUGAAAGAGAGAGGUGACGCACCAGACACAGAUGUGUACAUAUGUUGGUGUUUAGGGAUUACUCAUUGAUGGAUAUAUUAGAAGAACAAAGCACAUACCGCAUACAUACCGAGGAGUCCAAUUAAGAGAACAUUGGUAUAAGAACUCGAUGAGGCGGCUUCUAUUGCACAUGAUUCCUUGAGAUCGACUUCUAAGCAAGGGGCGAGGAAUGCAUUUGUUAGCAUAAUAAGAAAGAUUCAAUCCGCUCUUAGAAAGACGUGUCAUGCAGAUCAUGAUGGACGUCAAGAACGACUCCUAGUGUACGAGCGUCGAAGGUUUCGAGGACAUACUAGGGAAGGCUCAAGUUGUGCACAUGACGAAGCCGGACGUUCACUGCGGAUUCAAAUCGAGGAGAAUGUCAUACCUUCACAAAUUCACACACAACCGGACAAUGAGAUCAUCCAAGCUCAUGUUAACAAGGACGAAAGAGAGGAAGAAGAGGGAGAGGGAGAGGGAGAGGGACGAUGAGUUGUUUUAUGAUGUUUACGAUGAGGAGUCCUUGAUUUGGACUAAAUGUC